rnacentral:rRNA from 1 species
CUAUGGCCAUACCAUCCUGAAUACUCCCAAUCUUAUCUGAUCUCAGAAGCCAAGCAGGGUCAUGCCUGAUUAGUACCUGGGUGGGAGAAAGUGGAGCAAUUACGGGAAGCUCAAAAGA